rnacentral:lncRNA from 1 species
AGAGGUCAGUGCUUGAUAUCCGAUGGACUGUGAGAAAGGAUGGUGAGGAGGGGAGGAAGAAAUGGGGGUUUGGUCCUCCCAUGAAAAGCCCGUGAAAGUUGUUCAAAUAAAUGCUCAUUUGAGAUAGGCAAAGGAAACAGGAAAGGGCUUAGUAAGAUCCAGAAGGGCAGGAGCACCAUGGCUACCUGAAAUCACCAUACUGACACCGCUUUUGGCUUUACUCCUCUCUCCUGAGAGAUUCUUCAGAGAUGGGUGACGGACUGACAGAGAGCCCCGUCCAUGCACAGAUCUGAACUGAGAGCCUGCUGGCCAGGCGGGUUGGCAUGGUCCCUCAGAAAGCAGAGCAGCAGUCGGGCUUACGCCACGAUUUUAAGAAGAUAUCAGCACUGGGAGCAGAGCUAUGAAAUGGCUCAUUAGGAUGGACGUCUGAUGAUGGAAGACA